GAUGAACGCUGGCGGCGUGCCUAAUACAUGCAAGUCGAGCGAACGGACGAGAAGCUUGCUUCUCUGAUGUUAGCGGCGGACGGGUGAGUAACACGUGGAUAACCUACCUAUAAGACUGGGAUAACUUCGGGAAACCGUAGCUAAUACCGGAUAAUAUUUUGAACCGCAUGGUUCAAAAGUGAAAGACGGUCUUGCUGUCACUUAUAGAUGGAUCCGCGCUGCAUUAGCUAGUUGGUAAGGUAACGGCUUACCAAGGCAACGAUGCAUAGCCGACCUGAGAGAGUGAUCGGCCACACGGGAACAGGGACGCGGUCCAGACUCCUACGGGAGGCAGCAGUAGGGAAUCUUCCGCAAUGGGCGAAAGCCUGACGAAGCAACGCCGCGUGAGUGAUGAAGGUCUUCGGAUCGUAAAACUCUGUUAUUAGGGAAGAACAUAUGUGUAAGUAACUGUGCACAGCUUGACGGUACCUAAUCAGAAAGCCACGGCUAACUACGUG
rnacentral:rRNA from 1 species